GCUGGGGGUGCUUACCAUGCAAGUCGAACGAUGAUCUCCAGCUUGCUGGGGGGAUUAGUGGCGAACGGGUGAGUAACACGUGAGUAACCUGCCCUUGACUCUGGGAUAAGCCUGGGAAACUGGGUCUAAUACCGGAUAUGACCAUUCCACGCAUGUGGUGGUGGUGGAAAGCUUUUGCGGUUUUGGAUGGACUCGCGGCCUAUCAGCUUGUUGGUGGGGUAAUGGCCUACCAAGGCGACGACGGGUAGCCGGCCUGAGAGGGUGACCGGCCACACUGGGACUGAGACACGGCCCAGACUCCUACGGGAGGCAGCAGUGGGGAAUAUUGCACAAUGGGCGGAAGCCUGAUGCAGCGACGCCGCGUGAGGGAUGACGGCCUUCGGGUUGUAAACCUCUUUCAGUAGGGAAGAAGCGUAAGUGACGGUACCUGCAGAAGAAGCGCCGGCUAACUACGUGCCAGCAGCCGCGGUAAUACGUAGGGCGCAAGCGUUAUCCGGAAUUAUUGGGCGUAAAGAGCUCGUAGGCGGUUUGUCGCGUCUGCUGUGAAAGACCGGGGCUCAACUCCGGUUCUGCAGUGGGUACGGGCAGACUAGAGUGCAGUAGGGGAGACUGGAAUUCCUGGUGUAGCGGUGAAAUGCGCAGAUAUCAGGAGGAACACCGAUGGCGAAGGCAGGUCUCUGGGCUGUAACUGACGCUGAGGAGCGAAAGCAUGGGGGAGCGAACAGGAUUAGAUACCCUGGUAGUCCAUGCCGUAAACGUUGGGCACUAGGUGUGGGGGACAUUCCACGUUUUCCGCGCCGUAGCUAACGCAUUAAGUGCCCCGCCUGGGGAGUACGGCCGCAAGGCUAAAACUCAAAGGAAUUGACGGGGGCCCGCACAAGCGGCGGAGCAUGCGGAUUAAUUCGAUGCAACGCGAAGAACCUUACCAAGGCUUGACAUGGACUGGAAAGAUCUGGAGACAGGUCCCCCGCUUGCGGUCGGUUCACAGGUGGUGCAUGGUUGUCGUCAGCUCGUGUCGUGAGAUGUUGGGUUAAGUCCCGCAACGAGCGCAACCCUCGUUCUAUGUUGCCAGCGCGUUAUGGCGGGGACUCAUAGGAGACUGCCGGGGUCAACUCGGAGGAAGGUGGGGACGACGUCAAAUCAUCAUGCCCCUUAUGUCUUGGGCUUCACGCAUGCUACAAUGGCCGGUACAAAGGGUUGCGAUACUGUGAGGUGGAGCUAAUCCCAAAAAGCCGGUCUCAGUUCGGAUUGGGGUCUGCAACUCGACCCCAUGAAGUCGGAGUCGCUAGUAAUCGCAGAUCAGCAACGCUGCGGUGAAUACGUUCCCGGGCCUUGUACACACCGCCCGUCAAGUCACGAAAGUUGGUAACACCCGAAGCCGGUGGCCUAACCCUUGUGGGGGGAGCCGUCGAAGGGGAGCCGG
rnacentral:rRNA from 1 species